GUCACAAGAUUAAAAAUUGUAGCAAUGAGUGGUAUUGCAAAAAAUUAGCUGCAAGAUUAAUUUUAGAUUACAAAAUGCCCUAGAGGUACUUUUUUUUUUUUUUUUUAACGUGUUCCUUAACCACUGGAUACAGGUUGUGCGUCAGUGCUGAGCAUAAAAGGAACUAUACACAACCUAUGGAAAACAGGGUACCCCAAUAUUCUCAGGGGACACAAUACAAUUAGGGAAAAGAAGGCUGACACUUUCACACACAUGCACAGGAUAUGAGGUAUAGUCAGAAUCACAUUAUAAAAGAGGGUGCCCAGAUUGGGAAAAUUGAGCUCCCCCUGGGAAAACUCCAGCAGGAACCCUCCGUCUACUGAUGAUCAAUCCAUGAGAGACCCAGCAAACUCUCAUACUAUCUAGGAGGAUAUGAGUAUGACUAUAGCUAUAAUAAGUGCAUAGAUAUAGUAGGAUUUAUCUCUGCUUGGAUAUUCAUUGUUGGUAACUUUUAGCAAUUUUAUUAAAGAAGUUGUUCUAGUGAAUGUGUGUGUUACUUUCCUUAGUCUUCAUGUGUUCUUAGAGACUCUAGAUCUGAAACAAGUGGCAGAGGGAGCUUUCACUCUGUUGAGCUUGAGACUGUAGCCAGCAGAGCCAAACCCACAGUGGUGUAAUACAACAUUACUAAAUGCAUUGGAUCCGAAGGGGCAUGUGGCUGCAUCGCUUCUUCCAUGAGGCAAAGCUCCCAAGCCGGGAACGAUCAGCAAAUGGAGCAGCAAGCGGCGAUAUGGUCUUUGCCCAAGCAGUGGAGGCAACGUUGGUGCUAGUCACUCCCAGUACUUAAGCGCAGUACUUAAACCUGUCUUGCCUGGGCAUCGUGCCUGGGCUGGGGAAGAGUCCUGCAAAGGGAAGGAAAGUCCAAAACGCUAACUAACAACUAUGAACGGAUAACGAAUUACAACUAGAGAAAGAAAAAAACAAAACAAAAAAAACUACAUACAAGGAAAAAACAAGUGAAAACACAGUACACAUAGCAAGCUAAGAGCACCAAGGAACAGGCGUUCCGACUCUGGCCAUGCAGCAGUAAGAGGGAACUCCAGGCCCCUCUGUUCAUGGUUUGAUGCAGCACAAGCUUCCAGGCUCUCAGGGAAUAUGUCCUCCAGUAUCUUCUUCUUUCGUCUCCUCAUUUGGCUCAGAUAUUCCAUGGGUGUGGUGGAAGGCUCCCUCAAGGCCACAAUGGCAGCAGCUACAGAUAAGACACACACAGGUAUCAUGUCUAUAGUCACAACUGGAAGCAAAAGUUAAGUUUUGGAACCCCCUUUACUCGGUCCCUUAAAUUUUAAACAAGACAUGCUUAUUGACACUUCAGCUUCAGAGUGCUUGUGCCCAGCACCAUCGCUAGUCCCAGCCAUGGGGGUGGUGAUUUUAGCCGAUAUCUCGCUCCUGAGAGUAACAAAAGCACAGAGAAGCUGCUGCUGGUGUCCUGAAGCCAUCUGGGCCCAUAUGCUGCUAGCCUGUUACCUGCAAUGGUGCCUGACGAAGUCAUCGCAGAGUGGCGUAGGGAAGUGUCUAUGGAGGAAGAAAUAAGGCUGCCGUCCCAAGAAUCCUUCAGGAGAGGAUUGCAGAGUGCCUCCAUGAAUGUUCCAUCAAGGUCUCUCAGGAGGACUCAAGGGACAUCCCUGUGUACAUAAACAAACUGCUUCACAUGGCCCCCGCCUAACUCUAGAGGGAAAUGAAAAACAGACAACAACUCUACCUGUGUUUGUUGUACCACCACCUCUUCUAGUAAGAGUAAAUGUGUGUUCCAAGAA